AUUUCUCUGCAGCUCUUCUCGCCUUCUCUAUCUGCGCAGCGGUGCAGGAAGUGUACGCUGAAAGUGAAACACUGACUAAAGUGUGAGAGAUUAAAGAUGAGAUUCCUGCAUGUGUGUGUGUGUGCGUGUGUGUGUGUGUGUGUGUGUGUGUGUGUGUGUGUGUGUGUGUGUGUUUGUCAGAGGUGAAGAGUGCCCCCCCCCCCCUCCUCUCUAUAUGUGACGUAUGGGAGUGAAACAUAGAUGCUUUACAGGAAAUAUGCCAAGUUGGACUUUUUAUGUCAGGGUGCCAUUGCUUUCUUUUACAAAGCUGCCUCACACACACACUCACACACACCCUCCCACACACACACACACACACACACACACACACACACACACACACACACACACACUCACACACACACUCACACACACACACUCACACACACACACACACCACACACACACCACUCACACACACACACACACUCACACACACCACCACACACACACACACUCACACACACACACCCACACACACACACACACACCACACUACACACACACACCACCACACACAAUCACUCACACACCACACACACACACACUCACACACACACACACACUCACAACACACACACACACACACACCACACUCACUCACACACACACACACACCACACACACACACCCACACACACACUAGCACACACUCACCACACCAACACACACACCACACACACACACACACACACCACUCACACACCACACUCACUCACACACACACACACACACACACUCACACACACACACACACCACACACACACCACACACACACACACACACACACACACACACACACACACACACCACACACACACACACACACACACACACACACACCAGCACACACACACACCACACACACACCACUCACCCACACACACAAACACACACCACACACACUCACCACACACGCGCACACACACACACUCACACACACAACACACCACACACACUCACACACACACACACACACACACACACACACACACACACCACAUCAGGACACACACACACACACACCUCACAACACACCCACCACACACACACUCAGACACCCCCCCCCCCCCCACACACACUCAUCACACACCACACAACACUCACAACACACACAAUCCAGACACACACCCACACACCACACAACACACUUUCAGACACACUCACACACAGACACACACACUCACACCAGACACACACACUCACACACACACACACUCAGACACACUCACACAC
rnacentral:lncRNA from 1 species